CCCAGAGAGGUGCGAGCGGGCGGGGUAAGACGUGGGGGGGGAGCGUGGUCGGGAAUGAUUGGGCGUAAAGGGCUCGUAUGCGGUUUGUGGCGUCGGGAGUGAAAACCAUGGGCUUAACUCAUGGCUUGCUUCCGAUACGGGCAGACUAGAGGCAUGCAGGGGAGAACGGAAUUCCUGGUGUAGCGGUGAAAUGCGCAGAUAUCAGGAGGAACACCGGUGGCGAAGGCGGUUCUCUGGGCAUGUCCUGACGCUGAGGAGCGAAAGUGUGGGGAGCGAACAGGAUUAGAUACCCUAGUAGUC
rnacentral:rRNA from 1 species